CCGGGAUAGCUCAGUCGGUAGAGCAGAGGAUUGAAAA
rnacentral:tRNA from 10 species